UCACUAGUAGGGCGAAAAAUUGGGUGAU
rnacentral:piRNA from 1 species